UACUCGAGUGGCGAACGGGUGAGUAACACGUGGGUGAUCUGCCCUGCACUUCGGGAUAAGCCUGGGAAACUGGGUCUAAUACCGGAUAGGAGCCAUUUUUAGUGUGAUGGUUGGAAAGUUUUUUCGGUGUAGGAUGAGCUCGCGGCCUAUCAGCUUGUUGGUGGGGUAAUGGCCUACCAAGGCGUCGACGGGUAGCCGGCCUGAGAGGGUGUACGGUCACAUUGGGACUGAGAUACGGCCCAG
rnacentral:rRNA from 1 species